rnacentral:lncRNA from 1 species
CGCACAUCGCGGCCCCAUGAUCUCUGCAAAGAUUUGUUCCCUAGCUUGGGGAAGUUUAAAAACCUGAAGAAGCUCACAGAAGCCACGAAACCUCCCCCUUCGAACGCCACGAAACUCCUUAAGGCUAGCCCUACGAAGUCCCAGCCGCGGAGCACCCUGGUAGUAGGACCACCGAUCACGUCCCCAGGCCCCAGGUAGGGGAGCUGGGGCACUGCUGGCACUUCGUCGGGGACCUGGGAACCAAGGGCAGCUUGGGUGAGAGCAAGAGGAAGCUCCUGGGGGCAGGGGUGGAGGGAGAUAGCAGGGCCCAGGGGACUUCCUUCUCCAGGAUGGGCCUUGACCUCCAGGCACCUGGCUCAGAUGUCACCGCCCACCGACCACUUUACAUUGUGAGAGGGGCCUCAACUCCUCAGCGAGAGCAAUAAAAAAAU